rnacentral:misc_RNA from 1 species
GUGAAUCAUCAAAUUUUUGAACGCAUAUUGCACUCUCUGGUAUUCCGGAGAGCAUGCCUGUUUGAGGGUAAUUAAAAAGCAUCUUUCCCCAAUUUUUUUUGGUCAAAGGAAAUGAGUUCUUCGCGUUUAUAGCGGUAGCUUGAAAUAAAUGGUCAAGUCUCAUUUUAGUCGAGACGCUUCAUCAUAUUCUUCCGCGACAUCUUCAUUA